GUGCAUCGCCAGGGAGAAGCCGAAGAGGCUUCCGGAGUCCCCGCUCCACAUGACCACGUUGCCCGUGUCCAGGUUGAAGGCGAGGACGAGCCCCGGCAGGAGGGACAGCUGCAAAAGGAACAGCGCACUGACAACUGGACUCGUCUCCCUCCAAAGUAGAACCGCCAAAGGACUGAGUCAGCAGCACAGAGAGUGUUUUUUUGGUAAAUGAAGGCCUGAGCUAUUUGCCCCGGACAAUGGCUUCAUUUCCCCAUGUGUAUACUUUAGAUAAUCUAAACUAAGAACUGGCUGUUGAGUGAAAACAGAAAAAGUACUGUUUGAUGUUCACCCAUUCACUGAUACCUUACCACAAACAUUGCUUGUUUUGGUGAAACACAUGCAAACAAAGAAUCGGGGCCUCUUCGCUGUGUUCCUCCAACUUGUGCAGAAGACCUUCAGCCAAAUUGCUGGCCCACACCCUGACUUGGAGGAGAUGCGGUUGCUGACAAUCUAACCCUCCCGAAUUCUUCAUUACCUGCCCUGCUGCAUCACCAUUUAUUUUACCGUCUUCCCUACCCUGGUCUCCAUGAAACUGACAGUUGUGGUUGAGUGGUUGGGAGUGGAAUCCUUGUAAAUAUCACAGAAACCUCUCUUUGAUCUUAAAUGAACGUUUUAAUUGAAAUAUCGAUAGGGACACAACCCAGUUGUGCUCCAGGAAGAUACCUCUGUACAGGAAGGGGGGAAUGUU